AGCUCCAAUAGCGUAUAUUAAAGUUGUUGCAGUUAAAAAGCUCGUAGUUGAACCUUGGGCUUGGUUGGUCGGUCCGCCUUUUUGGCGAGUACUGGACCCAACCGAGCCUUUCCUUCUGGCUAACCUUUCGCCCUUGUGGUGUUUGGCGAACCAGGACUUUUACUUUGAAAAAAUUAGAGUGUUCAAAGCAGGCCUUUGCUCGAAUAUAUUAGCAUGGAAUAAUAGAAUAGGACGUUAUGGUUCUAUUUUGUUGGUUUCUAGGACCAUCGUAAUGAUUAAUAGGGACGGUCGGGGGCAUCAGUAUUCAGUUGUCAGAGGUGAAAUUCUUGGAUUUACUGAAGACUAACUACUGCGAAAGCAUUUGCCAAGGACGUUUUCA
rnacentral:rRNA from 1 species